rnacentral:rRNA from 1 species
AGUGAACGCUGGCGGUAGGCCUAACACAUGCAAGUCGAACGGCAGCACAGGAGAGCUUGCUCUCUGGGUGGCGAGUGGCGGACGGGUGAGGAAUACAUCGGAAUCUACUCUGUCGUGGGGGAUAACGCAGGGAAACUUACGCUAAUACCGCAUACGACCUACGGGUGAAAGCAGGGGACCUUCGGCCCUUGCGCGAUUGAAUGAGCCGAUGUCGAAUUAGAUAGUUGGCGGGGUAAAGGCCCACCAAGGCGACGCUCCGUAGCUGGUCUGAGAGGAUGAUCAGCCGCACUGGAACUGAGACACGGUCCAGACUCCUACGGGAGGCAGCAGUGGGGAAUAUUGGACAAUGGGCGCAAGCCUGAUCCAGCCAUACCGCGUGGGUGAAGAAGGCCUUCGGGUUGUAAAGCCCUUUUGUUGGGAAAGAAAUCCAGCUGGCUAAUACCCGGUUGGGAUGACGGUACCCAAAGAAUAAGCACCGGCUAACUUCGUGCCAGCAGCCGCAGUAA